UCUGCAACUCGACUGCGUGAAGUCGGAAUCGCUAGUAAUCGUGAAUCAGAAUGUCACGGUGAAUACGUUCCCGGGCCUUGUACACACCGCCCGUCACACCAUGGGAGUGGGUUGCUCCAGAAGUAGCUAGUCUAACCGCAAGGGGGACGGUUACCACGGAGUGAUUCAUGACUGGGGUGAAGUCGUAACAAGGUAGCCGUAGGGGAACCUGCGGCUGGAUCACCUCCUUA
rnacentral:rRNA from 1 species